AUUGAGGCGAGAGUCAUGCUUGGGUAUUAGCUAUUGCCUUAGUGUGCUAGAGUCCUUGAAGAGUAAGUGUUGAUUUUAUUCACUGGCUGUAGGCCUCAAGGCACAGUCAGUCACCAGGUUAGUGACAGAC
ensembl:snoRNA